rnacentral:rRNA from 1 species
UACGUAGGGGGGCAAGCGUUGUCCGGAUUUAUUGGGCGUAAAGAGCGUGUAGGCGGCUUUACAGGUCCGUUGUGAAAACUCGAGGCUCAACCUCGAGACGCCGGUGGAAACCGUAAGGCUAGAGUCCGGAAGAGGAGAGUGGAAUUCCUGGUGUGAGCGGUGAAAUGCGCAGAUAUCAGGAGGAACACCCGUGGCGAAAGCGGCUCUCUGGGACGGUACUGACGCUGAGACGCGAAAGCGUGGGGAGCAAACAGG